rnacentral:tRNA from 1 species
UUAAAAAUAGUUUAUUUAAAAUGUUAAUUUUGGAGAUUAAUGAUAUUGUUUAAGAUUUUUUAAA